rnacentral:rRNA from 1 species
GACGAACCGUGCGAACGUUAUUCGGAAGUCACUGGGCUUAAAGGGCGCGUAGGCGGGCCGGAUAGUCAGGGGUGAAAGCCUCCAGCCCAACUGGAGAAGCGCCUUUGAUACUGUCGGCCUCGAGGGGUGCAGGGGCAUGCGGAACUCAGGGUGGGAGCGGUGAAAUGCGUAGAUAUCCUGAGGAACACCGGUGGCGAAAGCGGCGUGGCUGGACACCUUCGUGGACGCUGAGGCACGGAAAGCGA